rnacentral:rRNA from 1 species
UACGUAGGGGGCAAGCGUUGUCCGGAUUUAUUGGGCGUAAAGCGCGUGUAGGCGGCCACGCAGGUCCGCUGUGAAAACUCGAGGCUCAACCUCGAGCUGUCGGUGGAAACCGCGUGGCUAGAGUCCGGAAGAGGGGACUGGAAUUCCAGGUGUAGCGGUGAAAUGCGUAGAUAUCUGGAGGAACACCGGUGGCGAAGGCGGGUCUCUGGGCAGUAACUGACGCUGAGGAGCGAAAGCGUGGGGAGCGAACAGG